rnacentral:sRNA from 1 species
AUUAUAAAAUAACUGAAUAUACCAUGGAACCAUUGCCAAAAAAUUAUUUAAAUGUGUAUGUCUGUGAUAAUGCAUGUUAUGGUGAUAAAGUAGUAAUUACUUUAUUUCAUAAAGACUGUUUUUAUGAAAUAUCAGGAAAUAACAAUUUAUCCAAAUUGUUUUCAUUUUUAUAUUAUUCCAAUGUAUGACUAAAUGUAUUCAUUUACAUGUUUAUUUAGUUACAAACUUCAUUUUUUAAUGUCAUUUGCGCGAUUGAAUUAUCUAUCAUCAAUUUUAAUAACAUGACAUGCCAUAUUGUUUUGUUUAUUUUUUAAAAUAAAAUCUGUGUUCCUUUUUUGGAGAG